UACGUCAUCUUGAUAUUACAAAUGCAAGUUCAAUCAAAGAGAUGCCAUUGGGAAUUGGAGAACUGAAAAAUCUCCAAACACUGUCAAAUUUUGUUGUGGGAGAAAACGUUGGUUCUAGGAUAACAGCCUUGAUGAACUUAAAAUCUCUUAGAGGAAAGCUUUGCAUUGCAAGCUUGGAGAAUGUGGUUGAUGCUCAUGAUGCAAGGGAAGCCAACAUAAAUGAUAAGCAGGAUGUGGAUGCUUUGUUGCUGCAAUGGAGAUUUAAUUUAGAUAGUUUUCCAAAUGGAAGAGUUGAAAAAGAUAUACUUGAUAAUCUACGACCUCAGAGCAAGCUGAAAGAGCUCACCAUCCAGUGCUAUGCAGGGCUAAGUUUCCCAACUUGGGUAGGAAAUCCUUCAUUCUCUGCCAUGGUGCAGCUAAGGUUAGAGAAUUGCUUAAGAUGCACAUUAUUGCCAUCACUUGGACAGUUACCUUCUCUUAAAAUACUCACCAUUGUAAAUUUGAUGGCUGUUAAGAAGGUAGGUCUUGAAUUCUAUGGAGAUGGAUGCUCAAAGCCUUUUCCACUUUUAGAGAUUCUACAGUUUGAAGGUAUGCGUGAGUGGGAGGAAUGGAUUUCUUGUGGAGUUGGUUAUGAAGAAUUCCCUCUCUUGCGAAAGCUUUCUAUUGCAAGAUGCCCCAAAUUGUUGAAAAAAUUGCCCAACAGUCUUCCAUCACUAGAAAAGCUUGUGAUUGAAAAUUGUAAGAAAUUGGUGGUUUCAAUUCAUAGGCUUCCAAGCUUGUGCAAAUUAGAAAUCAAGGGAUGCAAAGAAAUGGUGUGUGAAGGUGCUGUUGAUCUCAACUUGCUGAACUCUCUGAUAAUUUCUGACAUUUCAAAGCUUACAUUCCUAACAGAAAGGUUCAUACAACCAUUCUUGAAAGAACUGGAAGUUUCUAAUUGCAUGGGGCUGGUAUCUUUGUAUCAAAAUGGAGAGACAUUCAUAAAACAGCUCAUUUCCCUUCAAAAUUUAGUAAUUCAUGGUUGUCCCCAAGUUGCUUCACUAUUAGCAGAGGA
rnacentral:misc_RNA from 1 species